rnacentral:rRNA from 1 species
UACAGAGGAGGCAAGCGUUGUCCGGAUUGACUGGGCGUAAAGCGUCCGCAGGUGGUCGCGCAAGUGCGCUGUGAAAGCGGCCCGCUCAACGGGCCGAGGCCAGCGCAGACUGCGCAACUCGAGGUCGGGAGAGGUCGGUGGAAUUGCCGGUGUAGUGGUGAAAUGCGUAGAGAUCGGCAGGAACACCCAAGGGGAAGCCAGCCGACUGGCCCGCACCUGACACUCAGGGACGACAGCGUGGGGAGCGAACCGG